AGGUGCGAUCAUACCAGCACUAAUGCACCGGAUCCCGUCAGAACUCCGAAGGUAAACGUGCUUGGGCGAGAGUAGUACUAAGAUGGGUGACCUCUUGGGAAGUCCUCGUGUUGCACCCC
rfam:Ricinus communis cultivar Hale ctg_1100012282708, whole genome shotgun sequence.